rnacentral:rRNA from 1 species
ACGGAAGGCAGCAGUGGGGAAUAUUGCACAAUGGGGGAAACCCUGAUGCAGCGACGCCGCGUGAGUGAAGAAGUAUUUCGGUAUGUAAAGCUCUAUCAGCAGGGAAGAAAAUGACGGUACCUGACUAAGAAGCCCCGGCUAACUACGUGCCAGCAGCCGCGGUAAUACGUAGGGGGCAAGCGUUAUCCGGAUUUACUGGGUGUAAAGGGAGCGUAGACGGCGAUGCAAGUCUGAUGUGAAAGCCCGGGGCUCAACCCCGGCACUGCAUUGGAAACUGUGUUGCUAGAGUGCAGGAGAGGUAAGUGGAAUUCCUAGUGUAGCGGUGAAAUGCGUAGAUAUUAGGAGGAACACCAGUGGCGAAGGCGGCUUACUGGACGGUAACUGACGUUGAGGCUCGAAAGCGUGGGGAGCAAACAGGAUUAGAUACCCUGGUA